UGUUGAAUGAAAUGAAACAAGGUCCACUUAGUUUGAUGUGUCUGAAUUGUGAUUGGAAAGGGCGAUGGUCGAUGUAGUCUUACUUACGUUGUGGGCAGGGGGAUGUUGACAUCAGAGGAAAUAAAGACAUGUUUGGGGAACCAAGUGGAAUGAUGGACUACGAAGAAGAUGGAAUCCGACCAAAAAGGAGGCGGCAUCCAGUAACAAGAUAGAGGUGCGAGACGGAGCAAAUGGACGGUGUAGACUGAUAUUUCAUUUACCGAGAGUAGAUUAUGCGGAUUUUUCAACAUGUAUGAAUCAUGUGUUCUCUCUCUAUCUCACCACAACCCCUUGUUUUGUCUAGAUUUCCCGUUCAAAUUAACAAAUUUGGUGUUUCUUUUUUACAAUAUAAGUCUUAUGAAUCUGAAAGAUGUCACACGUUGGAAUCUA